AAACGUCUCAAACAAGAAGCAGGAGGAAGGAGAAACCUUGGCCGCCGUCAUCUCCCAUCAGAUAUGCCGCCACGUUCCUUUCCUUCACCACCAACAAGAUCUUCUUGAUUGUAUACACUGCUAUCGUCAUCCACCUUUGAAUUGCAUCACCUCAUCAUCGCCACUACGACCUAGGCCUAUCACCAUCAAUGGUUGCUGUGCCAAAAAUAGAUCACCUAUCCCAAGCCUACCUCACUGCAGCCAAUUCAAAGCCCACCUCACCACCACCCUAUCUCACCACCAUUCUCAAAUCUUAUCUCCUCAUUUACAUCUUCCUUCAUUCCUCUGUGAUCUAUGCUAGCAUAAGGUAUUAAUUUUUCAGGUUGAGGGUAAUAUUGCUGGAUAGCCAUCAUUGGAAAAAGGAGGAAGAUGGGUGGAAUUGUUUUUGUGAUUAGGAGUAGAAAGGACAUUUCAUCAUUAUUUUAGUAUUUUUUUCUUAAAAAAAAAUAUAUUCAUCUUAUAACUUAUCAAAUAAAUAUAUAUAAAUAUAUGUAAUCAUCGUUACAUUAUAUUUCAUUCUCUGUUAUUACAGUACAUUCCAUUCUCUACGACAGUGAACCAAACCGGAACUUAUUUUUCUUUCUUAACGUUUCCUCUCAUCAAAACGAAGGGUCAAUCUCGCUAGUCGUGACUGUCCAGUGCUUUCUCUUCCCCUCAAUUAAACGAUUCCACUCCCUGUCGGCAAAUAUCUUCUACCCCUUCUAUCUUUCUUUGUCGCGGGUUGGUGUUGGUGGCCCUAAUUCUUCGUUCUUCUAUUGGCUUGUCGUUGGCGUGCACUCACGUGUAUGAACUUCGUUCGUGAUGGUAAGGUCGCGGCACCGGCUUUCGAGCUCCUCUCCUCCUUCCUCUGCUUUGUCGACGCUGCACCCAUGCGUCUAGUGAAAGUCCUAGGAGAUUUUUGCACAAUUCAAUCUCGGGAUCAAAAUGGAAAAUGAAGAAGGGAGACCACACCAACGAAAAGCUACCAUCAUAGCAAGAUCAAAGGCCACAUCAAAGUAAUAGUGGCUUUGGCCUACGAAGCAAUUCAAGACUUUUUUGAAAUAGUGGAUCAACUGCAUUUUGGGAGUUUACUCUUUUGUUGGUACUUGAACAUUCUUUGUAAGGCAAAUAUGAGGACGAGAUGUUAUUGUUGAUACUGUCAAAACAUUAGAAUUAUGAAAUUAUUAGAUCAAAGAUUCCUAUUCAA